rnacentral:sRNA from 1 species
CACGUCAGCCAGGCGGGGCGGGGCAGAACUCUCGCUUUGGCUGCCCGAGUGAGUGUGAGUGUGAGAGCAAGAACAGCCCGCAGGUCCCGAGGCGCUUGCUGGGGACUCUGCCGCGGAAAGUUCCCAGUCCCCAGCCGCAGCUACCCUGGAAAGCAGGAAGAGAACCGGAAGUAAGGCAAACUAAAGCAAGCCAAAUCCCUCAAAAUAUGGGAAAUGUAUCAAGCAAAAUCUAUGAGUGUUUCUGAUGAGAGACACUGAGUGAAGAAAAGUGCUGUCUUGGGGAUCAAUGCUGGAUGGCCCUUCUCACUGCAGCUACAGACCUUGGAGACAGAGGAAGAUGCAGCAAGGGGUACUGAUGCCUCAUAAGGUUGAACAGUCUCCUUUUUUUGUUAUGUUCAGAUGCCUUCGUGAAACUGGUUUUACCUGAGAAAGAGGAGCUGUCAUUCAGCGAGUCGUAGGUGGCAGUGUGCAUGGCAGAGUCCCAUGUGUUACACCACGAGGACAUUCACAUUUUCCCACUUGGUGAGGUCCUUCUACCUAAUCCUCAUUCCUUGUGCACAGAAGAGGACUGGAAAAUUCUCCUCAUAGAACUGCAUACUGUUAUCUCUGAGAAGUGUUUUCCAAAAAGUGCUUUAUAAAAACAGCCAGGCAGUUCAGCAUUGUGGAUAAGCUUUUAUAACUUACUUACACCCUGAAGAUUUCAGAGUUCACAACUUUCAGGAUCUAAGGAAUGGUGACCAUCAUAAGCCUGUUUGUGCUUCUAAAAGGAACACUGACACCUAGUGUCCUGCUCUCUGGAAUGACCUGAAGCUAAAAAGAAAAAAAAAUGAAACAUUGGUUUUCUGAGAAGAAAAGAUUUGUGCUGGGAACAGUUUCUGCUGUGGCACCAAAACUGUAACAAGAAAAGGCCUUUGAGUCCUCAGCUAAAUGAAAGUGUUAUGAUACUCAUACUGGCUACAUGCCGGGGAUCCUGACAACCAGCCCACGGAAAUACCGAGUUUCCAACUCUUAUGGCCUCUGAACAACUGAAAGUCACAGAAAAGGCUCAUAGAUGCAUCACUGCUGCUUCUCACCCUGGUGAAACGCACUACUUCAAAUGUCUUGUGGAAAAUGUAUGUCGUACUUUACAUAGCUGAUGUUUUUCAGUGAAAACAAAUAACAACAAACAAACAAACAAGCAAACAAGCAAAUUAAAGCAAGAGGCCUCAAACCAGACAAUGACUCCCUGCAGUGAUCAUUAGCAAGUAAAGCUGUUUGGACAAAAGGGCAUAAUGUGAGAUACUCCGUGACACACCAUGACCUCCAUGGAGAGAUUGCUGUUGUUGCUGUUGUCAUCUUCAUCAUAAUUAUUAUUAAUUAGUUAACAUUUAUAAUUUAUCUAUAUUCUUUGUUUUCUUUUGGGGGAGAGGUUGCAAGGACAGAGGGCAGAUACAGAGGGCAUAGGAAAUGAGGGGCAUUCGGGAUGACUGUAUAA